GUGAGGAAUUUUCCGCAAUGGGCGAAAGCCUGACGGAGCAAUGCCGCGUGAAGGAUGAAGGCCUAUGGGUUGUAAAAUUCUUUCACCGGGGACGAUAAUGACGGUACCCGGAGAAGAAGCCCCGGCUAACUUCGUGCCAGCAGCCGCGGUAAUACGAAGGGGGCUAGCGUUGCUCGGAAUUACUGGGCGUAAAGGGCGCGUAGGCGGACAGUUUAGUCAGAGGUGAAAGCCCAGGGCUCAACCUUGGAAUUGCCUUUGAUACUGGCUGUCUUGAGUACGGGAGAGGUGAGUGGAACUCCGAGUGUAGAGGUGAAAUUCGUAGAUAUUCGGAAGAACACCAGUGGCGAAGGCGACUCACUGGCCCGUUACUGACGCUGAGGCGCGAAAGCGUGGGGAGCAAACAGGAUUAGAAACCCGUGUAGUCC
rnacentral:rRNA from 1 species